ACUCCUACGGGAGGCAGCAGUGGGGAAUAUUGCACAAUGGGGGAAACCCUGAUGCAGCCAUGCCGCGUGUGUGAAGAAGGCCUUCGGGUUGUAAAGCACUUUCAGUAGGGAGGAAGGUAGUGUAGUUAACACCUGCAUUAUUUGACGUUACCUACAGAAGAAGCACCGGCUAACUCCGUGCCAGCAGCCGCGGUAAUACGGAGGGUGCGAGCGUUAAUCGGAAUUACUGGGCGUAAAGCGCAUGCAGGCGGCCUGUUAAGUCAGAUGUGAAAGCCCGGGGCUUAACCUCGGAAUUGCAUUUGAAACUGGCAGGCUAGAGUCUUGUAGAGGGGGGUAGAAUUUCAGGUGUAGCGGUGAAAUGCGUAGAGAUCUGAAGGAAUACCAGUGGCGAAGGCGGCCCCCUGGACAAAGACUGACGCUCAGAUGCG
rnacentral:rRNA from 1 species